CGGGGAUGCCUUAGUACGGCGAGUGAAGCGGCAAAAGCUCAAAUUUGAAAUCUGGUACCUUCGGUGCCCGAGUUGUAAUUUGGAGAGGGCAACUUUGGGGCCGUUCCUUGUCUAUGUUCCUUGGAACAGGACGUCAUAGAGGGUGAGAAUCCCGUGUGGCGAGGAGUGCGGUUCUUUGUAAAGUGCCUUCGAAGAGUCGAGUUGUUUGGGAAUGCAGCUCUAAGUGGGUGGUAAAUUCCAUCUAAAGCUAAAUAUUGGCGAGAGACCGAUAGCGAACAAGUACAGUGAUGGAAAGAUGAAAAGAACUUUGAAAAGAGAGUGAAAAAGUACGUGAAAUUGUUGAAAGGGAAGGGCAUUUGAUCAGACAUGGUGUUUUGUGCCCUCUGCUCCUUGUGGGUAGGGGAAUCUCGCAUUUCACUGGGCCAGCAUCAGUUUUGGUGGCAGGAUAAAUCCAUAGGAAUGUAGCUUGCCUCGGUAAGUAUUAUAGCCUGUGGGAAUACUGCCAGCUGGGACUGAGGACUGCGACGUAAGUCAAGGAUGCUGGCAUAAUGGUUAUAUGCCGCCCGUCUUGAAACACGGACCAAA
rnacentral:rRNA from 1 species